rnacentral:rRNA from 1 species
CCUACGGGGGGCAGCAGUGAGGAAUAUUGGUCAAUGGGCGCGAGCCUGAACCAGCCAAGUCGCGUAAGGGAAGACGGCCCUACGGGUUGUAAACCUCUUUUGCCGGGGAGCAACGGGCGCCACGUGUGGCGCCACUGAGAGUACCCGGAGAAAAAGCAUCGGCUAACUCCGUGCCAGCAGCCGCGGUAAUACGGAGGAUGCGAGCGUUAUCCGGAUUUAUUGGGUUUAAAGGGUGCGUAGGCGGAGCGUUAAGUCAGUGGUCAAAUUGAGGGGCUCAACCCCUUCCCGCCAUUGAAACUGGCGCUCUUGAGUGGAAGAGAAGUAUGCGGAAUGCGUGGUGUAGCGGUGAAAUGCAUAGAUAUCACGCAGAACCCCGAUUGCGAAGGCGACCUGCUAGAACAUAACUGACGCUGAUGCGCGAAAGCGUGGGGAGCAAACAGGAUUAGAUACCCCAGUAGUC